AUUAAUGGAUGGUUGGAGUAUAUUUCCGUUGCCUUCACCAAUUUGAAGUCCAAAAUUGAAACUAAUAAACCAAGGGCUGAACCGAAACUGGGAAAAGGGUGAUUGGAUUUGCGAUUGUGAAGGCAGUGGACUAUGGACUGGUGCCUGGCAGAGUGGUGUGAGUUGAGUGGACGGUGACUGGUGAACGUGUGUGGCCUGUGACCGUGAGCGACGAGGAGGUGGACGGUGGAGUCACUAGAGUGGUGCGACCGUGCGGCAUGCGAGUUGAGUGGACGGUGAGUCGAUCACCAGUGGCUGUGACUGCGAGUGAGACUUCUUGCCUUGGUGUCUGGUGAGCUAUUCUGUUUUUUUUUUUCCUUUUCAUUUUGAUGCCUUAAUUUGAUUAUUAUGUUAAACGUGAUGAUUAUGAUUUAUGAAAAUUGGGAAAUUUGUAAAUUUUGUGAAUUUGUGACUGUGGUUUGUAAAUUGGGAAUUUUAUGACUUGUGAGAAAUGUUCAAUUAGUGUUGGAAAUUAGAAAUUGGAAAUUGAUGAUAGUUUAAGUUUUUAGUUUAAUUUAUGUUUAAUUUUCAUACACAUUAUGAUAACUGGAAAAAUUAUUGCUGAUCUCGAUUCUUGAGUUUAGUUGACACUUUUGUCUUCAUUGCAUUGCAUUGAGAUGAGGUCCAUGUAUUUUUUGUGCAAACAAGAGCCUUUACUUGUCUGUAGCUAAAUUUAGUUCAUAAAUGAGCUUUUGUUUCUGAAUCCGUUUUGUUUAGAGGCAUUUAGUUUAGUUGUUAAGAAAUGAAGGAAUAAUUGAAUUCCAGAACAGGAGUGAGUGUAGUGUGUAGUGUGAUCAUUUAAUUAGAAAUCUCACUUUUCAAUUGUUUAUAUGCUUGGAAUAUGUUAGUGGAAGUGAGGGCUUGGAGAAUAUAGCCCAAACAAUUUGAAUUGAAUGGCAAUUUGUUGACUUGGUCUUCAAAAUGAACAUAUACUUCUUGAUUGAUAAUCAAUAUUUUUGUCUACAACAAGGACAAGAGUAGCAUGUAGAGUUUGCAUAAAUUCCUUCAAUUUCAGUUAGUCUCGUCAAUAUUAUUUUGAAUAAGGAUAUAUUCUAAGUUUUGUUCAAUUAAAAAAAAAAACAUUUGAUCGAUGUCAAUUUGUGUUGGGCAUAUCAAAGAAGGAUAAUGUAUUUGUGUUGGUAUACCAAACGUUGGAUUUAUUUAAUUAAAUUUAACGGUCUCGCUAUUACGAUCAUUGAUGGUCAACGAUCAACGGACAACAGACAAAAUCCGUCCUAGCUGAACUCUGAUGCUGAAUUCACUCCUGUUAGUGACCGUUUCUGAAAGCGCUCUAAGCUUCAGUGACCGUUUUGUAAUAUUCAAUUAAGUUCAGUGACCAUUUGUGAAAUUAAUCCAUUUUUAAAUAGUUAAUUGAUGAAAAAUGUGUGGUUAAGAAGUAAGAAAAGAAUUUAGUUAUGCGUGUAAUAUUAUUUUAUUGAAUAAUGUGUGGUUGAAAAGAAAAGAGAGAAAAAUGUAUUUUGAGAAAAAUGGGUAUCAAACAAG
rnacentral:lncRNA from 1 species